rnacentral:rRNA from 1 species
CUACGGGUUGCAGCAGUGGGGAAUAUUGCACAACGGACGAAAGUCUGAUGCAGCAACGCCGCGUGGAGGAUGACACAUUUCGGUGCGUAAACUCCUUUUAUAUAGGAAGAUAAUGACGGUACUAUAUGAAUAAGCGCCGGCUAACUCCGUGCCAGCAGCCGCGGUAAUACGGAGGGCGCAAGCGUUACUCGGAAUCACUGGGCGUAAAGAGCGUGUAGGCGGAUAGAUAAGUCAGGAGUGAAAUCCUAUGGCUCAACCAUAGAACUGCUCUUGAAACUGUCUAUCUAGAAUAUGGGAGAGGUAGAUGGAAUUUCUGGUGUAGGGGUAAAAUCCGUAGAGAUCAGAAGGAAUACCGAUUGCGAAGGCGAUCUACUGGAACAUUAUUGACGCUGAGACGCGAAAGCGUGGGGAGCAAACAGGAUUAGAUACCCCCGUAGUC